ACAUCGAUAGCUCUGUGGCAGAGCGGUGGUCCGUUGUCCCAUGCAACCUGGGUUCGUUUCCCAGUCGUUGCA